rnacentral:rRNA from 1 species
UCAGAUUGAACGCUGGCGGCAGGCCUAACACAUGCAAGUCGAGCGGUAGAGAGGUGCUUGCAUCUCUUGAGAGCGGCGGACGGGUGAGUAAUGCCUAGGAAUCUGCCUAGUGGUGGGGGAUAACGUUCGGAAACGGACGCUAAUACCGCAUACGUCCUACGGGAGAAAGCGGGGGAUCUUCGGACCUCGCGCCAUUAGAUGAGCCUAGGUCGGAUUAGCUAGUUGGUGAGGUAAUGGUUCACCAAGGCGACGAUCCGUAACUGGUCUGAGAGGAUGAUCAGUCACACUGGAACUGAGACACGGUCCAGACUCCUACGGGAGGCAGCAGUGGGGAAUAUUGGACAAUGGGCGAAAGCCUGAUCCAGCCAUGCCGCGUGUGUGAAGAAGGUCUUCGGAUUGUAAAGCACUUUAAGUUGGGAGGAAGGGUAGUAACCUAAUACGUUGCUACUUUGACGUUACCGACAGAAUAAGCACCGGCUAACUUCGUG